rnacentral:rRNA from 1 species
GCAUAUCAAUAAGCGGAGGAAAAGAAAAUAACAAUGAUUCCCUCAGUAACGGCGAGUGAAGAGGGAUAAGCUCAAAUUUUAAAUCUGUUGGGUUCCACUUAACAGAGUUGUAUUUUGAAGAAACGUUUUCUGCAUCCAGGAUUAGCCUAAAUCCUUUGGGAUAAGGUAUCAUGGAGGGUGAGAAUCCCGUUCAUGGUUAAUCUUAAGGAAGCUCUACGAUACGUUUUCCAAGAGUCGAGUUGUUUGGGAUUGCAGCUCAAAAUGGGAGGUAAAUUUCUCCUAAGGCUAAAUAUUGGCGAGAGACCGAUAGCGAACAAGUACCGUGAGGGAAAGAUGAAAAGAACUUUGAAAAGAGAGUUAAACAGUACGUGAAAUUGUUGAAAGGGAAACGAUUGAAGUCAGUCAUACCAACGGGAAAUCAACCUUUUGAGCUUGGUCUCGUGGGUUUUGAAGAGUUUCAAAGCCUUCGGAUUCGCGGGAUUGGGAUCUCUUGGUGUACUUUUUCGUACGGUUAGUCAACAUCGGUUUUGAAUGUCAUAAAAUGACUGGAGGAAUGUAGCUUCGAUCUCGUAUUGAAGUGUUAUAGCCUUUGGUAGAUGUGAUGUUUGAGACCGAGGAUUGCAACGGAUACCCUUCAGGGCUAUUCGUCUGAUCUCUGAUACGUUGCCUUGAUGUUGAAAGCUUGCUUAUGAUGUUAGGGUAUUACGGUCAAAAGGUUAGAACGAAUUACAUUCGUUAAGGAUGUUGACGUAAUGGCUUUAAACGAC